GACGAACGCUGGCGGCGUGCUUAACACAUGCAAGUCGAACGAAGUGGCGAACGGGUGAGUAAUACGUGAGUAACUUGCCCUCCUUUAUGGGAUAAGCCUUGGAAACGGGGUCUAAUACCGAAUAAAGGGGGAUGGGCUCGCGGCCUAUCAGCUGGUUGGGGGGGUGAUGGCCUACCAAGGCGGUGACGGGUAGCCGGCCUGAGAGGGUGACCGGCCACAUUAGGCCUGGGAUACAGCCCAGAGGCCGACGGCAGGGAGCAGUGGGGGAUAUUGCGGAAUGGCCGAAAGCAGGAUGCAGCGGCGCCGCGUGGAGGAUGAAGGCUUUUGGGUUGUUAACCUCUUUCGCUAUCGAAAGGGUAGGUGGAGAAGAAGCGCCGGCUAACUACGUGCCAGCAGCCGCGGUAAUAC
rnacentral:rRNA from 1 species